AAGAAAUAUGAAAGUUCGGGAAAAAGCUUCUAACUUCAUUCCCUAGCGGUUAAACUCCGUUAAUAUUUCU
rnacentral:tRNA from 1 species